AUGGUCCAUCCUAAGAAUGCUGAACAUCAGUCUGGGACAAACCUUGCCUGCUCUCACUGUGACACCAGCACGGAAAGAAAGGAGAGAAGUGCCAUGCCCUGCAGAUGUGAGGUGCAAACCCAGCCAGAGCGUGCAGCCUUGGGUGAGACCGUGGCUCCUUGCAGCCCAUUCAUCUUCAUUACCUGCCUCAGCUGCCAGCAGCGACAGCAAAACAGCUCUCCAGACCAGCGCCACCGGUGGUUUUCCCUGUGGGAGGUGUUCCUGGUAGAACAAUUUGGUUUCUCCUCAGCCCCACCUAAUGCCCAGGCGGCAUCAGCCUGCCUGCCUCUGUGGGCUCCCCAGAUACAAGUGAGCUCCUCGGCCUGCCUGGCUGCCUUCCCCGAUCACCUGCACGGCAGUAACGCAGGCUGUGGUGCUACCCAUGCCUCUGCGCCCAUGCUGCUGGGCCCCGGCGGGCUCCCUGGGCUGUAUUUACUCAAGAUGCUGGGCUGCAGUUUGCUCAUCCCUGCUCUACAGGGCUGCUUUGUCCACAAAAGCAACUGGGGAGCUGCAGCCAUGCAAAAUGUACCUGCAUCUAUUCGUGCGUGCGCGUGCUGUAUCCCACCUGCAGUACUUCAACACAUAGUUCUCUAA
rnacentral:lncRNA from 1 species